rnacentral:rRNA from 1 species
GUGUCGCUCAACGGAUAAAAGGUACCCCGGGGAUAACAGGCUGAUCUUCCCCAAGAGUCCAUAUCGACGGGAUGGUUUGGCACCUCGAUGUCGGCUCGUCGCAUCCUGGGGCUGGAGCAGGUCCCAAGGGUUGGGCUGUUCGCCCAUUAAAGCGGCACGCGAGCUGGGUUUAGAACGUCGUGAGACAGUUCGGUCUCUAUCCGCCGCGCGCGUCAGAAACUUGAGGAAACCUGUCCCUAGUACGAGAGGACCGGGACGGACGAACCUCUGGUCUACCAGUUGUCCCACCAGGGGCACCGCUGGAUAGCUACGUUCGGACAGGAUAACCGCUGAAAGCAUCUAAGCGGGAAACCUCUUCCAAGACCAGGUUUCUCACCCUUUUAGAGGGAUAAGGCCCCCCGCAGACCACGGGAUCGAUAGACCAGACCUGCACACCCAGCAAUGGGUUUAGGGAACUGGCACUAACCGGCCGAAAACUUACACACACCC